UACAGAGGUCUCAAGCGUUGUUCGGAUUCAUUGGGCGUAAAGGGUGCGUAGGCGGCGCGGUAAGUCGGGUGUGAAAUCUCGGAGCUUAACUCCGAAACUGCAUUCGAUACUGCCGUGCUUGAGGACUGGAGGAGGAGACUGGAAUUUACGGUGUAGCGGUGAAAUGCGUAGAUAUCGUAAGGAAGACCAGUGGCGAAGGCGGGUCUCUGGACAGUUCCUGACGCUGAGGCACGAAGGUCAGGGGAGCAAACGGGG
rnacentral:rRNA from 1 species